UUUUGUAAGAAGGUUAGUAAGCUUAGAUUGUACUUGCCACCUGGUACUAAUGCCUAGGAACGAGCUUUGCUUCUUGGGAAUGCUCUCUAUCUCAGCAUCUGAUAACUACUUUCCAUUAUCAUUUAAUAUAUGAAGUCAAUCAAAAAAAAAAAA
rnacentral:ribozyme from 1 species